rfam:Triticum aestivum genome assembly, contig: Triticum_aestivum_CS42_TGACv1_scaffold_499462_6BL
AUAGUACACCCUCUGUUCGGAAAUACUCGUCCUAGAAAUGGAUAAAAUAGAUAUAUCUAUAACUAAAAUAUGUCUAGAUACAUUCAUUUCUAGGACAAGUAUUUUCGGACGGAAGGAGUAGUCU